rnacentral:rRNA from 1 species
GAUGAACGCUGGCGGCGUGCUUAACACAUGCAAGUCGAACGGUGAACACGGAGCUUGCUCUGUGGGAUCAGUGGCGAACGGGUGAGUAACACGUGAGCAACCUGCCCCUGACUCUGGGAUAAGCGCUGGAAACGGCGUCUAAUACUGGAUAUGUGACGUGACCGCAUGGUCUGCGUUUGGAAAGAUUUUUCGGUUGGGGAUGGGCUCGCGGCCUAUCAGCUUGUUGGUGAGGUGAUGGCUCACCAAGGCGUCGACGGGUAGCCGGCCUGAGAGGGUGACCGGCCACACUGGGACUGAGACACGGCCCAGACUCCUACGGGAGGCAGCAGUGGGGAAUAUUGCACAAUGGGCGCAAGCCUGAUGCAGCAACGCCGCGUGAGGGAUGACGGCCUUCGGGUUGUAAACCUCUUUUAGCAGGGAAGAAGCGAAAGUGACGGUACCUGCAGAAAAAGCGCCGGCUAACUACGUG